UGUGUAGGCGGCUGGGUAAGUCAAAGAUGAAAUCCCGUGGCUCAACUGCGGAACUGUCUUUGAAACUGCCCGGCUUGAGGAUAGUAGAGGAGAAUGGAAUUCCCGGUGGAGCGGUGAAAUGCGUUGAUAUCGGGAGGAACACCUGAGGCGAAAGCGAUUCUCUAGGCUAUUCCUGACGCUGAAACACGAAAGCUAGGGGAGCGAACG
rnacentral:rRNA from 1 species